UGUAUGUAUGUGUGUAUGUACAUGCAUAUAUAUGUAUGUACACAUGUAUGUACGUAAAUAUAUGU
rnacentral:miRNA from 1 species